rnacentral:rRNA from 1 species
GCUGGCGGCGUGCUUAACACAUGCAAGUCGAACGGAAAGGCCCCUUCGGGGGUACUCGAGUGGCGAACGGGUGAGUAACACGUGGGCAAUCUGCCCUGCACUUCGGGAUAAGCCUGGGAAACUGGGUCUAAUACCGGAUAGGACCUUUAGGCGCAUGUCUAUUGGUGGAAAGCUUUUGCGGUGUGGGAUGGGCCCGCGGCCUAUCAGCUUGUUGGUGGGGUGAUGGCCUACCAAGGCGACGACGGGUAGCCGGCCUGAGAGGGUGUCCGGCCACACUGGGACUGAGAUACGGCCCAGACUCCUACGGGAGGCAGCAGUGGGGAAUAUUGCACAAUGGGCGCAAGCCUGAUGCAGCGACGCCGCGUGGGGGAUGACGGCCUUCGGGUUGUAAACCUCUUUCACCAUCGACGAAGGUCCGGGUUUUCUCGGAUUGACGGUAGGUGGAGAAGAAGCACCGGCCAACUACGUGCCAGCAGCCG